rfam:Lacunisphaera limnophila strain IG16b chromosome, complete genome.
UUUCGGAGCCUGAUCUUCGCUCCGGGUUCAUUGAACAAGGAGAGGAAAGUCCGGACACCACAGGGCAGGAUUCCCCGCGAAAGGGGGGAAGCGGCGCGUCAAGGCGCCGCGAUGGACAGUGUCACAGAGAAUAUACCGCCGCGCGGGCAACCGCGUGGUAAGGGUGAAAAGGUGGGGUAAGAGCCCACCGCGCCGAAGGCAACGACGGCGGCACGAAAAACCCAAUCCGGUGCAAGACUAAAUAGGCGGCUGGACGGCCCGUCCGAUAGCCGCGGGUUAGUCGCAUCCGGCCGGGUCCCGCGCAAGCGGCCCACGGCCGGGCAGGUCCGCCUCGGCGGAUGUUGAGAGAAAUGAAGAUCGUGGCGCGCAAGCGUCGCACAUAAUCCGGCUUACCGGCUACGAGACUAG